GUGUGUUUUAACACAUGCUUAAAAAUAAUCACGUUUUAAAAUGUUAAGACAGAAAUUUGCAAUUUUAAGAUUGUCUCAGUCACUUCUCAUACAUGUGGAUUUUAUGGAUGAUUAUGAGGAAAUCAUUUUUUACACAGAGAGU